ACAUCAAAUUGGUUGUGGAAUG
rnacentral:miRNA from 1 species